GACGAACGCUGGCGGCGUGCUUAACACAUGCCAGUCGAACGGAAAGGCCCUGCUUUUGUGGGGUGCUCGAGUGGCGAACGGGUGAGUAACACGUGAGUAACCUGCCCUUGACUUUGGGAUAACUUCAGGAAACUGGGGCUAAUACCGGAUAGGAGCUCCUGCUGCAUGGUGGGGGUUGGAAAGUUUCGGCGGUUGGGGAUGGACUCGCGGCUUAUCAGCUUGUUGGUGGGGUAGUGGCUUACCAAGGCUUUGACGGGUAGCCGGCCUGAGAGGGUGACCAGCCACAUUGGGACUGAGAUACGGCCCAGACUCCUACGGGAGGCAGCAGUGGGGAAUAUUGCACAAUGGGCGGAAGCCUGAUGCAGCAACGCCGCGUGCGGGAUGACGGCCUUCGGGUUGUAAACCGCUUUCGCCUGUGACGAAGCGUGAGUGACGGUAAUGGGAAAAGAAGCACCGGCUAACUACGUG
rnacentral:rRNA from 1 species